UACAGAGGUCUCAAGCGUUGUUCGGAUUCAUUGGGCGUAAAGGGUGCGUAGGUGGCGCCGUAAGUCAGGUGUGAAAUCUCGGGGCUCAACCCCGAAACUGCACUUGAUACUGCGGUGCUCGAGUACUGGAGAGGAGAUUGGAAUUUACGGUGUAGCAGUGAAAUGCGUAGAUAUCGUAAGGAAGACCAGUGGCGAAGGCGAAUCUCUGGACAGCAACUGACGCUGAGGCACGAAGGCCAGGGGAGCAAACGGG
rnacentral:rRNA from 1 species